rnacentral:rRNA from 1 species
AGUGAACGCUGGCGGCGUGCCUAAUACAUGCAAGUCGAACGGAGCGACGCACGGGUGAGUAAUGUAUAGCUAAUCUGCCCUACACUAGAGGAGAACAGCUGGAAACGGCUGCUAAUACUCCAUAGUGUCGGAUGAGGCUAUAUUGUAUCAGCUAGUUGGUGAGGUAAUGGCUCACCAAGGCUAUGACGCAUAACUGGACUGAGAGGAUGAUCAGUCACACUGGAACUGAGGCACGGUCGAGACUCCUACGAGAGGCAGCAGUAGGGAAUAUUGGUCAAUGGGGGUGACCCUGAAGCAGCAACGCCGCGUGAAGGAUGACACUUUUCGGGGCGUAAACUCCUUUUGUUAGGGAAACGGUACCUACCGAAUAAGCACCGGCUAACUCCGUGCCAGCAGCCGCGGUAAUAC